rnacentral:ribozyme from 13 species
AUAAUCGUGGAAGGAGAAGGAGAGGCAGAAGAGGAGGAAGAAGAGACGGGAAUCGGGUUGGGGUCUUUUUCAGCUUUUUCUUCUUUUUUGUUAAUUGCAUUCCAUUUACCAAUAUUCAUUGCAAUUU